rnacentral:rRNA from 1 species
CAGUAGCCGCGGUAAUACGUAGGGUGCAAGCGUUAAUCGGAAUUACUGGGCGUAAAGCGUGCGCAGGCGGUUUGUUAAGACAGAUGUGAAAUCCCCGGGCUCAACCUGGGAACUGCAUUUGUGACUGGCAAGCUAGAGUGUGGCAGAGGGGGGUGGAAUUCCGCGUGUAGCAGUGAAAUGCGUAGAUAUGCGGAGGAACACCGAUGGCGAAGGCAGCCCCCUGGGCCAACACUGACGCUCAUGCACGAAAGCGUGGGGAGCAAACAGGAUUAGAUACCCCCGUAGUCCCUGUCUCUUUACC